UCAGUAAAAAAAAUCAUUUUUAUUCUUGUAUACAUUUGAUCAUUUUUGUUCAUAUUGUAGUUGAAAUGAGGACAUAUUUUUUUAUAUUUUUUUUUGAUCAAGUCAAGUUCAUCGUUUCUACCUCUCUCUCAGUUCUUCAAUGACAUGUAUAAGGUUUGCUAUGUCAAUCGGCGGAAGGUUAAAGGUUAUACCUUAAUUCUUAUACGAAACUUUGUAGAUCACAUGGUGAUUUGAGAGAUGGAGUCAUACGAAAAGUCGAUGUUCAAAGCAGCAAAAUCAAAAUCAUUCUGCAAUGUUGCAACGAAAGCGAACUUCAUUAAGCCAAUCGUGAAUACUAAAAAGAGAAUGUUCAGUAACAUUUUGGAUAUACUGAAGAAACAUAGACAAAUGUUAAUUCAGUACUGAUGCAAAAAGGAACAUUAAAAAGCUCUCGACGAUCACCAGACACUAAAACGCUUAGUGCAGUUUUGUUUGUAUAAGGUCUGUGUACUAUAGGUUCAGUUUGAAAUUCAAACAAAAAGGUAAGUCUAGAUAUUGUUAGAAUGUUUAGUAUGAUGAAUGAUGAACAAACAUGAAUUGAUAUGAAUUGAUUUGAUUAUUGUAUGUUGCAGGUGAAGUUUGUAAACCGAAGAUGAGCACAUAUGAGGUGUAUACUAAGGACGGUCAAUUAUUGGUUUGGUUAAAAAAUCAAUCAAUACUAAUAAUUUUGGAACAUAACCGGUUGAUAUGGGUUUGGUCUAAUUUAAAAAAAAAAUACAAUUGCUACACAUGCCUAUAUAAUUGUAUGGUUACAUAACGAUCAAGUAACUGAUCCAUGAUGCCUAUAACUCCCCUUUACUUCCUACAAUUUCGGAU